AAGUCGUAACAAGGUUUCCGUAGGUGAACCUGCGGAAGGAUCAUUAAUGGAAUAAACCUGGUGGACUGUCGCUGGCUCUCUUGAGAGCAUGUGCACGUCUGUCAUCUUUAUCUUUCCACCUGUGCACCUUUUGUAGACCUGGAUGCUUAAUAUAUCAAUCUGAGGUCAACUCAGGCGUGAGGACUGUCGGCGUCGCAAGAUAUCGGCUUUCCUUGUAGCAUUCCAGGGACUAUGUUUUUCAUACACACUUUAAAAAUCUAAUAGAAUGUCGUUUUAAAAAGGUCUUUGUACCUAUAUAAAACAAAUAUACAACUUUCAGCAACGGAUCUCUUGGCUCCC
rnacentral:misc_RNA from 1 species